rnacentral:lncRNA from 12 species
GGGGGGUCCCAGCUGGAGGAUGUGCUGCGGAAUGCCAGGGAAGUUUCUGUGCCUGAGUGCUGAUCUGGGAGCUAGGAGUGCAGGAGUGGGGAUGUCGGAGUGGGAGUGGGGAUGUCGGAGCGGGAAUGGGGAUGUCGGAGCGGGAGUGGGGAUGUCGGAGCGGGAAUGGGGAUGUCGGAGCGGGAGUGGGGAUGUCGGAGUGGGAGUGUGGCAGCGGGAGUGUGGCAGUGAGUGGAUGCAGGAGCGGCAGCGGGACUGGGAUGCGGGAGCAGGACGGGGCGCGGGCUCUGCUCGUUCCUGGGGCUGCAGUGCCACCUGCUGUCACCGCCCGCUCCCCGGGCGCGUCCCUGCUGCCGCACGCCGGGGACGCGCCGAGCCUCUGCCUCCCCGCUGCUGGCAGAAAUGAAGUGAAGCAGGGAAAAAGCAGCUCUGGGUCACAGGGGUGGAGUGAGAUGAGCGACAUCCCGCUGUGCCAGCACCCCAGGUAGUUCCUGCAGGAAUUAUCUCUUAUCUCCUUCUGGAUAGCUGGAUGUGAUUUUCCCUUCCUUCUGAGCUUAAAUGUAUCCUUCUGGAGCUCUACCCCUGAAUUGUCACCACUUC